CACAAAGACAACAGGACAUUGUGAUCCAGAGAAGAGGAGAUUGACUUUAAGAACAAGAUGGCUCCACUGUUAAUGUUUCUCAUGGCAGUGCUGGUGGCAGCAGAUGGUCUCUCAGCUCCAGCAGGGUCUGGCUCUCCCUCAGUGGUGUACUGUGAUUUUUUUACUUAUUGUUCUUAUGGGCAAAAAUGCUGUCGGACUCCACUUGGGCAUUGGACUUGCUGUGAAUAUGCUAUGGGUCAGUGCUGCAGUGAUGGUUUUCAUUGCUGCCCUAAUGGUUUUAACUGCGAUUCAACAUCAACCUUUUGUUUGAGUGGAUGGUUGAAACGACCAUCUUCUAUCCAGCUGGCAUCCAAAGCAACCCAGAAAACCCAGAUUGUGCGGCUGGAUAAAGCUAGAUCGCAGAAUCAGGUUGAGUCUGUAAAGUGUGAUGUGAAUGUCUACUGUCCCGUAGAGAUGGUCUGCUGCAAAACACAGACUGGCCAAUGGGGCUGCUGCAGCGGUCAAACAAACUAAUUUGAUUUAGUUUAUGUCUGUGGUUCUCAAACCUUUUCAACAACAGGGGCCUCAUUUAUAAAAUGCUGCAUAGAAACCACCCUACAUUUGAUCGUACGAUCAUACAAAAAUGCGUACGUGUGAUUCAUAAACCGAACAUACACACAGAAAACGCGCGUACCCCUUUCUUUCAGAUGUUAAAUCUAUUAAUCGCAAAUGAUCUUGAACUUGUGCGCAGCUGAGCAGUUUCAGAUCUCCGCCUUUAAACGACGCCUAAUUAAUGUCAUUCACAUAUAAAAGAGCACCUGUAAAUGUUUAAACCCUUUCGAGCAGCUAGAAUGGCUUAUAUUUUCAAAAACCUGCAGCAAUCGGACAAGCAAAAGUGGGUAUGUCUGCUCAGACCCUGACGUGGCGCUAAAAACCUUUCCAUGUCAUGCCGUGGAUUUUGGGUACGCACACUUUACGAUCAAAUCUGUGCGUACAGUACGCACGCUUUAUAAAUGAGGCCCCUGUGUGUAGGAUGCAUCCAUAGACAUAAAUAGAGACCACAUUGAUGACUGCUUUGGCAUGUUGCUGUGAUGUGCCAACAGACAGUAUCACCAUAUCGAUGAGAUCAAGUAAAUAGACUAAUUUUUCUGGAUUAAAACACAUUUACAUUUAUUUUUUAAUCAUCAAUUUUACUGGUUUACGAUCUAUAGGGAGUACAAAUACAUGUUAUCUACCAUAACCAUGUUGAUAUUAAAGGGGAAUUUUUUUAAAGAUAAAAUAAAUUUGGUGUGCCCAAUAUUUACUCUAUAUGACACCAAUCACUAUAAUAAAAUUUUAAUUUUAACCAAAAACGUAUUUUGUCUCUAACAUUUUUCUUCUGGUUACACAGAAUUAAUAAAUUCUGUAUUUCACUAAAUGUCAUAAAUCUGAGGGUCAAUGUUAUAAUGACAUAUAAACAAUUUGUGACCUGUUAUCAAAGACAGAGUCAAAAAGUAGGCCUCUUUACUUUUCGUCGAUGAUAUAUUACAUUUUUAUAUCUUUCCUGCACCUCUCUGUGUUCAAUGUAGAGCUGAUUUUGCAACAAUGAUGCAAAAUUGUGAGAAGCACAACAGAAAUCUGUUGAAUUGAAUUAUAUCCAAAAAGAUUUAAUAAACACAAUAUAAUGCAAUAAACUGGAAAAAAUGCUUUGUCAACUAAUUUUGCAUACAGUUGUAUUUUCUAAAUGUGUUUGUCUUAUAUUUAUCCAUCUGUGAAUGCUCGAUUAUUUACAUAACAUUACAUUUUUUAACCUCUCAUUACACGAUUCCAACUUUAAACAGAGAGGUUGUUAAAGCAGGCAGAAAAUGUAAGAAAUGAACAAAACGUUUAGAACGGUUUACAAAGAAAAUAAGACAAAGACAGACAUUUGUAGAUUUGUUUUUGGUCUUGUUUUGAAAUGUAAAGUUAUCAACAGUUGAUCAUUUCAGAAACUCAUUCCAUCUAUCUGGACAUCUAGCAAAGUUUCUGAUAUAAAAAUAAAACAAACAUUUUACAUACUCAAAAUAGUGUUUGAAAUGAACAAGACCCUUCACUCGUUCUCCGUUAACAUGUUUUUACACCGGUCCUGCCAAUGUCUUCAGUGUUUCAAUGUAUUACCAAUACUCAAUGGCAUUAAAAUAUUUGGGUGUAAUGAUGCACCACACAACCUCUAGCAUUGUGCUCUAAGCCCUU